AUUGAACGCUGGCGGCAGGCCUAACACAUGCAAGUCGAACGAGUGGCGGACGGGUGAGGAAUGUCUGGGAAACUGCCUGAUGGAGGGGGAUAACUACUGGAAACGGUAGCAAUACCGCAUACCAUCAGAUGUGCCCAGAGGGGAUUAGCGAGUUGGUGGGGUAAAGGCUCACCAAGGCGACGAUCCCUAGCUGGUCUGAUAGGAUGACCAGCAACAAUGGAACUGAGACACGGUACAGAGUCCUACGGGAGGCAGCAGUGGGGAAUAUUGCACAAUGGGCGCAAGCCUGAUGCAGCCAUGCCGCGUGUAUGAAGAAGGCCUUCGGGUUGUAAAGUACUUUCAGCGGGGAGGCGUUACCCGCAGAAGAAGCACCGGCUAACUCCGUGCCAGCCGCCGCGGUGAUAC
rnacentral:rRNA from 1 species